GUUUUUCCGCUUGCCGAAAAUAUCAGCCCUACGCCACAUCUGGCAUCAGCCUUAUAAUUGGUUCUUUUUCUCUGGAAACUCUUUAUAAGCAAAAAGCUGUCUUCUCAGUCUACUGUGCAUAUGACCCACCCAGGGCUGCAGCGAGAAUAAGAAGAUUGUGAUACUGUGCUCCUACAGCUUUCAGUAAACAGGAGCACCGGCCAGGGGGCUCAGGAGAGCAAUUUUAAUCACUGGGGUGAUCCUUUCUUCAUCAUUCAAGGUCAAGUCCCCUGAAUUUAACUGCUUAUUUGGUUGAUAAAACCAGGAAACAGUGGCUGCACAGACAGAGCACUCCUUACUGCAGACAGCGGCGAUGAGCCCAAACCAUUAGCCACAUGCAUAGGCUCAGCCUUCUGUAAAACCAAUGUAUUUAGAAAAAUUAAAUAGAAAACAUUGAUGGAAAAAAAUUACAGUGGCUAAAUUUCCAAAUUAUUCAUAUAAAAAUCUGUUUCUGUUUUCUCUACCUUAACAUUGGUACAACAUCCUUAACUUCUGAAAUGAAAUCUGUACAAAAACAUGAUGGGAAGGGGGGUCAGACAGAAGUUACAAAUGGUAUGUGUCCUUAUAGCUAAUCUGACCUUCUAUCAGUCAGUAUAAUGGUACGUGUCCUUAUAGAAAAUCUGACCUUUUAUAGGGCAGUAUAAUAUGCAGUACAAAGCCUUUAUUUGCGUUAUAUACAUAGGUGCUACUUAAAAAAGCAUUCAAAUGCUUACCAGAACAUAUAAAAUUCUUUCUGAAAGAUUUUUUAUCGCCACAGUGGCUACUCCAACAUGCAUUAAUAUAAUAAUGUCAUGCCACUUUUAUAAAAAAAAAAAAAAAGGGGGGGGUUUAUUAAAGUGACAUCACCCAAUAGAUCAAAAAGUGCCAUUCUGCUAUUUUUCACUUCCUGCUUAGCUAAUCUUGGCAAAUAUGCCAACUUGACUAAAGUUUGAUCUAAUCUUGGGGAAAUGAAAUAACUGGAUUGCUACAGCCGAUUCACUCAAGGGCCAAACGAUUGAUUCACAUUCCCAGGAUGUAUGCAGGGGUGAGGAACAGGAUUUUUAAACUUGCCUAAUUGACAUCUGGAUGACUUCUAGAAAGAUAUCAGUUGGUUACGCCUAUCUAAGAGCCCCAUACGCGGGCCAAUAAGCUGCCAACUCAGGCUAUUGCCCGUGCAUGGCAACCUUAACAGAUGCAGGUAUAGCUUGCUAUUCCCCUACAGUGCUGGCAGCAAUAGGUGGAAUUCUAAAUGCUGCCUUGCAAAAAGCUACCCACUGCUACUGUAAACAUGACCUUGGAUGAUGCUGCCUGUGACUUUAAAGUGAUACUGACAUGAAAACACUACUUUUUAAAAUGUGAAUCUACAUAAAAAGUUGCCUAUAGGUCACAUUGAUCAGUUUUUGCUGCUUCAGUAAGUAAUUGUUACUUGAAGUUCCUAAACCUGACUGUUUUGCCAACCUGACUGUCCCUUUUCAACCAGUUAUAGCUUCUAAUGCUAACGGACUCCUGAUGCACAAAUAUGGCCGCCCCCUCAUAAAGGAACAUGGGGGGAUCAGGUAAGUAAUGUAAAAGCAUCUGGCAAAUACUUUUAUGGCAAAAUUAUAAAAUGCAUGCAAAGAUAUUGUUAUGAAAGGUAAAAAGGUUUCAUUUCUGGUGUCGGUGUCUCUUUAAGGGCAUGUAGUGAUAAAAAAUAAAUCAUUUUGCGGCAAGAAAAAUAUUCCUUUAUGGUUGUGUCCUAACAUUUGGUAAGGGACCUCUUACGCUGAAGUAAGACUGACUCUUCCAAUAUUCCUAGGAAUCUCACAAAGAGGCUAAAGGGCCUGUUUAAUAUUAAGCAGAUGCUUAAAAAAUAAAUUAAUAGAUGUGCCAAUUUACAAUUUGGUUUCAUUAAUAAAAAUGCAACGUUUUGUACUAUAUCUUAUCUAGCUGCGGAAGUAACACUGAAUAUAUCUUUAGCUCUCCACUCCGGGGGGUAGCCUGGCAAUAGAAAACUUGUCACAAGCAGAACAGGGAUGUGCAGGCGAUUGGCUGAAUUGCAUCAGCCCAUAGGAUUCAUGAACAGCACAAGAAAAGGAAGGAAGUAGCCAAUUGUUGCCUGCGCCUCCUGCUGAUGUCACUCCAUUGGAUCACUCAGCGCGGUUGUGGGUGGGUGCACCGACUGACCUAGAGAUAUACUCUUUGCUUCCUUUCCAGGAAUAUAUACCAGAUUUUAGCAAUUGAGAAAAAUCUUGAAAGAUCAAAAUAAAAAAAAUUGACAGCUAAUACCUGAUGAGCUUCUGUAACAGUCAACUGAAGGUGUGUUUUCAACAUUCAAGCAAAUGUAUAAUGUAUAAAUCUGCCUCCUUGAUUCCAUCUGACGAUGAUGUCCGUUUACAUACAGGAGACCUUGCUAAUAAUAUUUGUGAACAUGUGUUUCACCUGAAUUCCGAAAUGAAAUCACUUUCAUUGAGAUGCCAUUUCUGUUCAAAAUUUGUUUUAUACUGAGAAAAAAAAACCAGUAAAAAUAAUGUUUUGCAAGGGAAU